UUCGGGCUCCAAGCCAGAGCCUUCACAGUCCUCUUUCUGUCCCUUUCCCUGCGAGCGAGUGGCAGCCAGGGGAGUUAUGCGUUGCUGCAACGCGCCGCGGAGAGCAGCAGCGGGCCGGGCACAGCUGGCCCAACAAACGUUCUUCUGAGCUUCGCGUCCUUCGCUCCGAGUUCUGGCUCAGCUCCUGGAACUAGCUGGGUGCCAGCGGCGUUCCGGAGAGUCCAGCCAGCUCCAGGCGUCUGGGCGCUUCGAGUCUUUGAUCUUCAGAACCUGGCAGCCUCUGCUGCUCCACUCUCCUCCCGGAAACCACCCAAAAGAUUAACUUCUGAAGCCCUCAGGGCAGAGGGAGGAGAAAGGGUGGGAAAAGGCGCACCGACCAGCCAUUGGGAAGGCUGCAGAGGAGGGAGGCCAGGCUCCCGAGGGCAGCGUCACGCUACGCUCCGUACUCAGCGUCCCUUGUAGGGCCUGACACCUCUAUGAACCUGGGAUCAUGAAUGAAUUCUUGACUCUUAGAGGGUAUGGAGAAGCAAGAAGGAAGGAGAUGAGAUAGGCGAGGAGGGAAGCGGGGCUAUUCUUAAGGUUAAACUGAAAGCGAGCUUUUUAUUGAAUCUAAGAAUAUCUGAGAAGAAAAACGAAAAGAAAGAAAAGAAAAGCAAGCAGACACGGAGGGACCAGAUGGAACCAACUAAGCUGGCUUCUUGCAAGACUCAGGAGAUAAGAAAGUCUUUAUUGAUGAGGGAAAAAUAAGCUUUGCUGGUCAUGCGCAGGACGAGGUCAGUCGGUGGCCCACUGUGGUGCAAGAAACGGAUGGCAUUUUGAUCUUGCCCCAUUCAGGUUGGGGAGUGAAGUGCAGGGGCCUUUUGCCCCCUUGCUAUGAAAGAACAGAUUCACUGACUACCAUACAUUGCUGUUCUGAAAGCAGGCUGCACAUGACCUCCAGGACCUUAGUGCUUUGCUUCCAGGCCAAGACUGCAGGAGUCAAAUCUGGCUGGCUUUGCCAAAGUACAGGUGUAUGUAGUUCAGGACACUUGAUUUACAUUUGGAGGGGCUGGGGCAGGUGGAGAGGGCAAGAAAGAAGUAAAGAAGAUGGUGAUGUCAGGGGUGUCUCUUCCCAAAUAUGUAAAUAUACCCAAUAAGUUUAAAUAAGAAAUCUAAUUGCUGCUUAAUUUUUGAUCAUGUACUUUAUCUGUAUAGCAAGCUUUGUUGUCCGAAGUUUUUUUUAUCGAUUUAAAUUGCUGCCUUUGAACAGCCAGGCAGGAGCAAAAUGUUAAAUUUUUAAACUUACUUUGUCUAAUUGUCAUUUGUUAGUCGGUAGUAGAUGUGAAAAUUUAAUUUAUGAAUCCAUGAUCAUCCAUACUACACCAAAGGCAGUCUCUGGAGCACUUAUGGCAAGGUGGCCCCUUUGUGUGCACUGGGUAUAGUUGUCUUCUUUAUCAUGUUAUUUUCAAUAUUAAAUACCUAAGCUGCCAUAUGAGUUUUUAUCUUUACAGUUUUCAAGGAAGAGCACAGAAAAAUUUCCCAUUUCAUAUUCAUAGUAUGUAAGUGGGUUCUAUUUUGUAAUGCUGAAAAUACUUAACAGUGCAUUGAACACUUGGAAGGGAAAUACUUUUUGGUGUUGAUUCUGUUAAUGACUCAGAAGAACAGUACACACCCUUGUGGAUUUUUUUUCCUCAGGUCUGAGUAGCAUUGCCUUAAAUCUUACCCAAUUAGAAAGUCACUUUAUUUAAUGUGAUGUUCAAAUUUUCCACCAAAAAAUCCUUCCAAACAAAAGACAUACUUCUUCUCCAAAAGUGUUCUGUGCUAUCGCAAAUACUCCUUGAGAUUUUAAAGGAAUUUCCAUGUUGUACCCUUUAGUGGCAGCCUUGACUGUUGGCAUAGCCAUCUGUUAUGUAGUGGUAGGCAACUUUCCUGCCAUGCAGGACUCCCUCCUGUGAAGUGUAUGUUUUAUACAGUGUGUGCCUCUUCAUGUGGCGAAUAAUUUCUUGUUAAUGUAUGUUUGAGGGGCUUUGAAUGUCAGCAUUAUUUACCCACAGAGUUAUUCAAGUUGUAAAAGGUUAUACAAUAAUUUAACAACUACUUUUUUUAUUCUGUCAGGUUACUGAGCUCACUUUACGAAAGUGGCUGUAAGUACUUAGCAUGACAAAUUCUGUAACUCAUCUGUUUCAGCAUGCAUUAGGGAAACUGAUAAUGCUUGAGUCCACUAAAUCUGCCUUCAGUACUUUAUCAAAGAGGAACCAAGCCUGCUGUGCUUAUAUCAGCAUCUCGAAGAUUCUUUGGUCCUCCAAUCAGUGUACACAUCUCCACACAAAGAAGAGAAAACCAUCUCUGCUCAGAUACCUAUCGGAUGGAGACACCUGAGUGAACUUUGAUGAAGUACAGUCUGAGUUACCAUCAUGCACGAGUAGAACUGCUCUUGGACCUGUCUUUCUGUCAUUUGCAGAACCUACAUGUUUGAUUGACUUGAACGUUGCAUCUUUUGAGGCUAUUUUGUAAGGUCUCUUGGCAUUUAUCCUAGUUGUCUGUUUGGCAAUGUGCUGUUGAAGUAAGAGACUUUUAAUCUUUAUGUAUAUUUUGUUUUCCCUUGAGAUAUUAUAGUGGUUUCUUUUAGGAAAAUCUGUCAUUAAAAUUAUAGCCUUGCAAAUAACCAAUGACCAUAUUGAGUCACGGC
ensembl:lncRNA